CAACCAAAGACAUAUUUACAGAACUCAAAUCGAGAUCUCUUAGCUUGGUUAGGUUUCGAACAAGCUUGUCAAAAGAAACUGGUUCUACACUUAGAUGGUUGUUUCCAGAGAGAUCAAGAGAAAUCAAUUUGGAGAGACGGGAGACUUCUAAUGGAACUUGGCCUGCGAAAUUGGAAGAAUUUAGAUUAAGAUGUGUGAGAUUGGAAAAAUGCCCAAAUCGAGAAGAAAUAUGGGAGGAGUUGAAAUCAUUGAAAGAGAGAUCGAGCUUCUGAAGAUGAUGAAGAGAGAAGAGAGAAUUAUAGGAAUGGAGGGUGCCAUAAAGCAUGCUGCAAGAGAGGUUCAGUCCAGUGACUUGCCCGGUUUUCAUAUCACAAGUGACCCCAUCCCACAAGCAGCAAUCUGUACCGUCUUUCCAUGACUCUGUUUUUGGAAAGGGAUAUUGACAAUAGUAGCGCUCCCAAUAAGCAGAACUAUGAAUGGGAAAGGAUUGUUUGAAUUGAAGCAGAGAAAGACUUUGGUGAUGAGCACACAAAUGAUUAGAAGAGGAGUAAUUUGAGGAGAAUGAUGAUGAAAUUGUUGUAUGAAAAUGGAAGAGAAACAAAAUGGAACAGAGAAAUUGAGUGAGGGAUAAUGAAAAUUUCAUGUUGGAUUUGCAGGAUUCAAAGUAUAUUUGGAAUUCUGAACGAUUGGGGAGAGAUGAGAAAUAAAGAAAGGCACUAUUAGUAGUAUUUAUAGACAAACCAAUCUUAGAUUCUUCUGUUCAUUCAGUUUCUGUAAUUAAAAAAAAAAACUUGAGUGCUAACAACUUGGUCUGUCCUUUUUCUUGACCCCAAAGUUAUUUUAUAUAUAAAAAAAACCUGUGUAAGAAAUGAAAUUUCUUGAGCACUAACAACUUAUUGCAGAGAUGUUUUUCUAUACUGUAUUUAGCAAUGAAAUUUCUGCGAAGCUUGCGUUGACCAUCAACAACGAAAACGAAAGUUCAGGAUAUAUUGUAUAUGAAAAAAUAUAAUGUUAUAAAUUAUUUUAAAUAAAAUAAAUAAUAAUCAAAAUAAUAAAAAUUAAAUCUAAAAAAAUAAAAGAUAAAGAAAUUAAAAUAAUAAUAAUUAACAUUUCAUAAAUUAUUUCAAAUAAAAUAAAUAACAAUUAAAAGAAUGAAGACCAAAUUUGAUAGAUAAAAAAUUUCAAUAAAAAAAAUAAUAAGAAAAAAACAAAUAAAAAUUAUAAAAAUAUGGACCAAAGUUAAUAUAAAAAUUAAAUUUUAAGAGAUGAAAUUGAAAAAUAAAUAAUCAAAACAAAAUAUAUAUAGUAAUCAAAAGUUUGAGGACCAAAUUUGAUAUAAUCAGCAAAUAAUAUGAUAUUUUUAAAUUUUUCACAACUUCCAGAAAGUGUUUUCCAUCCAAAUUUUUCAGGAAACCAAGUUAAAUUUUUCUUUGAUCGGAAAGUAUUUUUGAUUGACCAACUUUUUUAAUGAUAAAUAAAUAUAAAAUAAUUUUAAAAAUAAUUUUUAAAAAAUUACUUUUCAGAAAAUAACAUGGCAUAAACGAUCUUUUUUUUACAGCAUCAACAAGGGAAAACCAAUCGUCGUCACUUUGGUCUGUCCUUUUCGUCCUUGACCUCCAAGUCUUCGGAACCUGUAUAUGUUAUCCAGUAAGUGGUCCCUUUGUUGACUAUACAAGAGUUGUUGUCUAACUUGUCAAGCAUAGUUAAUACAAAGGAAGGUUGGUGUUGGUCAAUCUUGUUUGGUGUUACUGUGUGGUUCCUUUGGAAGUACAGGAAUUGUCGCAUUUUUAGGGAGACUCCAGAAGUGGCAGGGUAUCCUUUAAUGGCUAUUUGAGGUUUGACAAAAGAGAUAAUGGGCGCUGGACACCAUGAGGAGCUUAAUACUUUGAUUUCUAAGAAGAUGAAUGUUGUGGGAUGGAAAUACCCCCCUUCGAAUUGGAUGAAAUUAAAUGUAGAUGGAUGUAGUAAAUGCAACCCAGGUUUAGCAGCGGCGGGAGGAUUAAUUAGGGAUUGCAUGGGCUCUUGGAUUAGAGGUUUUUCUAUUAAUACUGGGAUUGGUACUUCAGUUCGUGCUGAGUUAUGGGCGGUGAUUACAGGGCUAGAGUUGGCUUGGUCUUUAGGCUUUCGCAAGAUUAUUUUGAAAUCUGAUUCUUUGGUUGUGGUGGAUCUGCUCUUGAAACAAUCCGUGAAAGAUGAUGCACACUAUGCCUUGGUUAACAGAGCUCGUGAAGCUCUAAGUAGAGAUUGGGUAGUCCAAGUGCAACAUUCAUACAGGGAGGCGAAUGCUGCUGCUGAUUGGCUUACUAACUAUGGGCUCUCUAGGAAUCCCCUUUUUAAGGAGGAUUCGACUAUCAAUGAACCUCCAGAGGGCUUGUAUUAGUUUUUAUACUAUGACUUGAUUGGAACGGUGUUCCCUUGUUUAAUUUAAUUUUGGGCUUUAGCCCCGAUUUAUAACAAAAAAAAAAGUGUGUUGGAAACACGACACAAUUAAUUUCCAGAAUUGACAUUUUAUAACUGUAGAUAAUACUAUAUAGGUGCACUACGCUGUAAGUUGUCCUACAUUUAUUUCAAUAUAAAAAAAAUGUUAAGUUGAUAAAACCAUUUCUAAAAAAAAAAAAAAAAUCAAGACUCAAGGAAUUACUUGAUGAGUUUAAUAAUUUAAAAAUAUAAAUAAAAAAAUAUUAUGAAAAUUAAUAAACUUACAAAAAAAAAAAAACAACCUUGAGUCCUAACAACUUGAUCUGUCCUUUUUCUUGACCCCAAAGUCAUUUUAUAUAUAAAAAAAAUUAUGUGAGAAAUGAAAUUUCUUAAGCACUAACAACUUAGUUCAGAGAUGUUUUUCUAUGUCGUAUUUAGUAAUGAAAUUUCUGCGAAGCUUGCUUUUACGAAACUGAAGGUUGAAUUAUUCAAUUGCAAAUAUUUCCAUACAAUUGUUUGGAAACACUUUCCUGCGAAAUUAAUUGCAUAUUGCUGACUAUACAAGAAUGUUGGAAACACGGCAAUAUUAAUUUUCAAAAUUGACAUUUUUUUCAAGAGUAGAUAAUAUCCUUACAUUUGCAGCAAGUCUAUGUGCUAAUCAAGGUUGUCAAUUCCGUUUCGGUAGGUGUUUCGUUUUUUCAAUUGGAACGAAAUGUUUCGGUUUCGGAGUGUUUCGGCGUGCCGUUUCGGGGUUGUACUGUUCAUAUAUAUAUAUAUAUAUAUAUAUAUAUAUAUAUAUUCCACAAACAUAAUUCAAAUUCAAGAUAAAUUAAUUAUAAAUUAUACAAUACAAACAUAAUGCCAAACAAAUAUAAUUUUAAAAUUUAAAAUAUUUUUAAAUAGUAAAGAUUAAAUAGAUCUUUAACUUAAAAUAAUAUAAACCAUAUAUUAAUUUUUUAAAAAUAAUAUUUUUUGGCCGAAACGGAACAACCGGAACGAAACCGGAACGUUUCGGCCGGAAUUUGGCCGGAAUUUCCGGAACGGGCCGAGAUUUAAAAUGAGAUGGAAUUUGUUCCGUUUUGUUUCGUUUUUUGAAUUGGUAUGGAAUGUUUCGGCCAUUCCGGGCGGAACGGAACGAAAUUGACAACCUUGGUGCUAAUAGAUUCAAUUUAUGCUCUUAUUAGAACUUCCUUUGAUUUCUUUACCAAGAAGGAGGAUGGGUUGGGUUUCAACUUUCAAAAUAAGUUGAGUUUGAGUUGAUUUAAUCAAUUAAAACUCGGUUUAUAUUAUUUUUUCCCAAAACAUAAUGGUUUUCAUUUUUUUUUUAAGAAACUAGUAUUUAAAGAAUUUUACAUAUGUUAGUUGUUCUUAAUUUCUUUAUUGUUUUUGUUUUAGUUCUGUCUACUAAUUAAUAUUGACCUGCUAAUAUAAAAGGAGGGUUUUAUAGUUAACAUUAUAUCAUUGACCCGCGUCAUGUUGCGGGUCAAAUCAAUUUUUUAAACAUAAAAAAUAUUUAAGUGUUGAUAAUAUGUUUUCUAGUAGAAAACAAAUAUUCAAAUCAUGUGGGAAUUAAUUUGAUAUAAUUCUGUCAACUUGACGGGUCCAAAGAUAAUUUGGACAACCGUUAAAAACACAGUUUAAUUAAAAAAAUUUCAAGAUGAUAUAUAUUUUUUUAUAAAAUAUUGAAACAAAAACAUAUUGAAUUAUGAUACCAGAAUAACCUCAAAGAAAACGAAUCAAAAUAAAUUAUGAAAUUCAAUUCUCAUUCAACACAAUAUUGAAAUUGAAAAAAAAAAACAAUUAAAAAAAAUAAAUAACUUGGGUCAACUUGGCCUAACCUGCUAAACUCGCAACUUGAGUCAUAUAAACAGGAUUACUUCAUAGAAAGUAAAUAAAAAUAAAUUUUAAAGCUCAAUUCUUAAUCAAUCUAAUGUUAAAGAAUAAAAUUAAAAAAAAAAUCAAUUAAACAAAAGAUACAAAAAAAUAACUCGAGUUAACCCAGGUUAACUCGCCAAAGCCAUGAUCUAGGUAAUGAAAUUACAAUAAUUUAAUAAAAAGCAAGCUAAAAAAAAUUAUAAAAUCUAAUUUUAAAUUAAUUAAAUAUUAAAAAAUAAAACUAGCUAUUUGAAUUAUAAAACUAUAAUAACCAAACCCAUUAAAAAAUGAAAUUGAAAUUUUAUUUUAAAAAAAUAAAGUAAGAGUAGAAACCAUGGAAAUAUGUAAGGUUCUAUCAAAUUGACUUCAAAUUGCGCACACUAAAUUGUUGUUACUUGGCAAAGUAAUAAUUACGCUUAGCAAUCGGGGCCAUAGUUUUAAGACCCGGCCCGGUGGUCGGCCCGGUCCAAGGCUCGAGUUCCGGGUUUUGACCAGGUCAUCGGGUCUUGACCGGGUCGCCAGGUCAGCCGGGUCAAAAUAUAUUUUUUUUAAAAAAAUCAAAACGACGUUGUUUUAGCAAAAUAAAUAAAAGUCAACGGGUUUGCGGCCGGGUCUUGCCGGGUCAACCGGGUCCCGGUCGACCGGGUCUGGCCGGGCCAAUUCCCAAGCGGGUUUUGGCCUCCAACCAGACCGGUCCCAUGCCCGGGUCAGCUGGGUCCCGGGUUGACCCGCCGGGCCGGUCCGGGUUUUAAAACUAUGAUCGGGGCACUAAUGAGCGCCCGCCUGGUAAUGUAUAGCAGUUUAAUUAUUUUAUAAAGAUUUUUUUUAAUUGAAAAUAUAUUAAUAUGAUAUUUUUUAAAUUUUAUUUUUAAUUUUUAAUAUUAAUUCAUUAAAAUUAUAAAAUAUAUAUAAAAAAUCAAUAUUGAUAUUCUAAAUGGAUUAAAUAGUGUUUUAGAGGUUGCUAAUAUUUCUUAAAUUAAUGAAUCCUUUUAGUAGUAAAAUAACUAAAUAGUUGACAAAUCUUGAUUAGUAGUAUUUUGUUUUUUUUUAAAUACUUUUCUUGGUUAUCGUUCCUUCAAUUGGUAUACUUUGAUUUUUCCCUUUUCUAUUCUAAAUAAUAAAUAAUUUAAACUAUGAGAUUAUGUAUACAUAAUUGAAAAACAAAAUGAUAAACAAAGUCAUCUUCACCUUCUUAUGUACAAUCCGCAGCUGUACAACAAGAUUAAGUAACCAAUAAAUUCAUUCAGCAAAUAUUUCCACACGAGGAGAAGUCCCUUAAUUCACUAACACAAGUGCUAAUUAUAAUAAAUAAGGUAGUUAAUUGUGAAGUAUUUAUAGUAAGAUAAAAAAAAAUUAAAAAUCGUGACAGCUUAAUUUGAAUGUUCAGAGAUGUUUUUCCAAAUUGUAUUUAGCAAUAAGAUUUAUGCGAAGAUUGCUAUGCUCACUAAAAUAUAAUUUCCAAGAAAUUCAAGCCACAAAAUCGGAAAAAAACUUCUUAAUAAUUUACUAUCAUAGUUUACUCACAGCUUAAGCAAGGGGGCAUGCAGAGUUAAAGAGUCAUCCUCACCUUCUUAUGUCCACUUCAAUCCAGUCUCCAGUCAACACGUUCUGGCAAUAGCUUUAAUGAACAGUUGUUAGAAAAGUACAGACAAACAAUGGAGAAUUAAUGGAGUUUGAAGGUUCUUGCACUCAAUUAGAUGCUGUGGGAUUGGUCGUCCUAAAAGUCUUCGAUCGAAACUUGGAUGUAUAGAUGGUGUCGACUCUUCAUGUGGUGCUGAAUGUGAAACUGAGGGUUGAAUUAUUCAAUUGCGAAUAUUUCCUCGCAAGGAGAACUCCCUUAAUUAGUUGAUAACUAAACAAGAGAAAGCAAUAGGCAAUGGUCCAGAAGAAUAUUCAUGUGGUGCUGAAUAUGGAACUGAGGGUUGAAUUGCGAAUAUUUCCUUUAACAUUUUUUAUUGAGAUCAAGUCUAUUUAAGUGAUGUGCAGCAAGUAUAUCUGCUAAUUAGAACUUUUUUUUGGUAGCUCGUCCGGCAUUAACAAUACGUUAUUUAUAUUAAUACAUUAAAAUGAUGUAAAAACAUGAGAAUAUUGGUUUCUUGUAAAAAAUGAAUAAAAAAAUAACAUAAAAAUACUAUUUUGAUAUAUUUCCAAACAAAAAAACAUUUUAAAAAGUAACAUUCACCAUACUAGCAUGCUCUAAUAAUAGAAACACGACAAUAAUGAUUUCCUAAAUGGAUUAAAUAGUGUUUCAGGGGUUGCUAAUUUUUCUUAAAUUAAAUAAUCCUUCUAGUAUUAAAAGUAAUUAAAUAGAUUUUUGACAAAUUUUGAUCAUUCUUAUUUCAGUAAUUGUUUUUUAAAAAAUACUUUUCUUGCUUAUCAAUCUUUCAAUUUAUAUACUUUGAUUUUUCCUUUGUCCUUUUUCUAUUUUAAAUAAAAAAUAAUUUAACUAUUAGAUUAUGUAAACAAAUAAUUAAAAAAUAUGUAUGUAGUAAAAAAUGAAAAUUGUAAACCCUUUACCUAGAUGGUUCAAUGAGUAUUUAUAGCCCCUGAAACUUGUUAUUUUGUUGGAGUUAAGAGCCUGAAGAGUUAUUUUCUUCUUAUAGCAAUAAUAAAAGAUAAAUAUAUCUUAUAUAACAUUAUGCGAAAAACAAAUUACACAAUAUUAAUAAGAAAUAAAUAUCCAUUAUAAAAUAUUAAUGAUGAUGGAAAUAUAAUAGGUUUUUAAAAGACUUUUAUACUCCUAAAGAUACAGAAAGAUGUUACUUGAAACUGAUAAAUUAAUCCCAAUUAUUGAACAAGAUGAUCAUGAUGUUGUCAUCAAAAAGUUGAUUUUUCAAAUAUAAAUUAUCAAUGAUUUGAAAUUUAUCAAAUAUAAGAUUGUGCCAAAUAUAUAUGAAGAUUUUUAUACACUUAGGGACAAUAUCACUUGCACAAUACUAUAUUCUUUUAUAUUAAAAAUCAAAAGAAUAAACAAAGAAAGCCUUAGAGCAUAUCACGAGGCCUGUAAUUCUAAUUAAAACUAUUUUUUUAGCUUGUCUAGCGGUAACUAUAAAAGCAUUAAAUUGAUGUUUUUUAUAUGAUUUUUAAUGCUUAUAAUAUGUUGAUGUGAUUUUUUUUAAAAAAAUAUUUUUAAUUGAAAAAUAUUUUUUAGGAUUUAAUAAUUAAAAAAAUAAAGGAAGAUAAAAACCAUGGGAAUAUGUAAGGUUCCUAUCAUAUUGACUUCAAAUAGCGCAAAUUAAAUUGUUGUUUAUUGGCAAAGAAAUAAUUACGCAAAGCAAUGGGGGCACUAAUGACUUUGCACUUAUGUAUCGUACUCUUUGCGUGCGCUCGUUAAUGCAUAGCAGUUUAAUUAUUUUUCAAAGGCAUCUAGACAAACCAAUCCUAGGAAUGGGUGCACGAGGAAAUCAAAGUCAUUAUUGUGUGUUUGAUCUUUCUCACUGCGAGGAGAAAUAUUGUCUUUUAGAAUUGUUUUUUUAUAAAAUUUAAAUAUAUUUUAUUUAUUUUAAAUUUAUUUUUAAUGUUUUUAUAUUAUUUUAAUAUGCUGAUGUCAAAAAUAAUUUUUAAAUAAUAAUAAUAAAAUAUUGUUUUGAUAUAUUUUAAAAUAAAAAAUAUUUUAAAAAAUAACCGUUACACUACUUUCAAAUAUCGCACGAAUGUUUGGGAGAGUGAAGCAUCCUUAGCUGGGACAUAAGACUAUCAAAUAAGUCCUUUAGUUGAAUAAUUAUCUCUUUAAAAAUAUAAUAAAAGUUGUUUUUAAAAUAUUUUUUGUUCAGAAAUAUAUUAAAUAAUGUAUUUUUUUAAAAAAUUAUUUUUAAUAUCAACACAUCAAAAUAAUCUAAAAAAUAAAAAAAAUUAAAACUAAAAAUAAUUUCAAUAAUUUUCAAAACACAGAUAAUUUUGCCUAGAAUUGUUUGAGUGUAGAACCGCUCAAAAUUAUUUUACAAGUUAGACUUGAAGGAAUUUCAGAGCAGCGUACCUGAAAUUAAAGAAAAUAUUUAGUGAAAGUUUAGGAAUAACAUUACUGAACCAUUACCGGACGAAGAUGUGAGGUUGUUGGUCGUUAACGCUCCUUUCUUCAAUUCUGCCUCUGUCUUUUUUUGGUUUCUCUCUAGUCGUUCUCCUCUCUGGUUCCUCUGUGUUUUUGAGUUCUCUGUUUUGUUCUUCUCGGUGCUUGUUCCUCCUGGUAUCCUCGGUGCAGCCCUCUGUGUUGUACGUCCUGUUCUCUCUUUUCUGUUCUUCUCUUUGCUUGUUCCUCCUCUCUCUGGUUUUUAGUUCUUCUCUCCUUUUUUCCUUUUUUUUUUAAAUUUUCCAGUUCCUUUCCUUCUUUUGUUUUUUUUUUUUCACUUCCUCCCGUUCUCCGUGUUUUCCUUCUCUUUUUUCCCCUUUCAAGGCCAAAGAAUGCCAUGCAGUUGUAACAAUUGGUUUGGUAACGACAUGCACAGGGAUAGCAGCCGUGAAACGUGCCCCAUAAUUGAAGCAAGUUAGUGCUUUUGUUGCUGAAACGUCUCCAUUGCCUUUACUGCCGAAACAGUUGUCGAGGAAGAAGGCAAUGAACAGUUGUCCAGGAAACGGCUCCGUUUAUCAAUUCAAAUGGCUAUUUUUGAUUUCGUCCUUGAGGUUUCGCAAUUUUAUAAUCAAGCCCCUGGAUAAUUUGUAAUUGGACCCCUGAAUCUUAGCACCAUUUAUAGCACAAUCCUUGUUCUUUCUGAACUAUUUAAUUCAUUCCUCAAUUGCUCUAAACUUGGAUAUCUUCUUCUCAUUGCUAUUAUUUUUUGGUUUUUUAUGAAUUUUUUUUUAAUGUGAGGAUUAAAAAUAAGUAACAACACAUAGUUCCUAGAGGCCUAAAAGCCUUAAACUCAGCAACAAAACCUGCAAAAUCACCAGGAAGAUUGGAGGACUAAGAGAAGUGCUACUGCAGAGUAAGGUCCCUUUUUCCCUACCAUUGUCUCUCAGACUCCAUGUGCUUGAACAGAGAGAGAAUUGAGAACCGAAAUAUUUGUUAUUUCUAGGUCAGGAGUGUAAUGUGAAGGAAGCUUUCUGAUAAGGUGGAUAAGAUUCUUCAAAUCAAGGUUUACAAUACCGUUCUGAAAUUCAUUCCAAAUCUUAGUUUGAUACUAAAAUUUUCUAUACCAGUUCAUUUUGGCGUGUCUCAAAACUAGUAUUAUCACUUAUAAAAUAUUUUUUAUACAUUUAAAGAAAUUUAAUUAUAUUUGUUCUUAAUUUCUUUAUUGUUUUUGUUCUAUUUCUCUCUACUAAUUAAUAUUCAUUUGGUAAUAUAAAGCAUGAUUUUAUAGUUUAACAUAAACUACAACAUACAUUAACUAUUACAUUCUUUGACUUUUUUUCAUAGAAGUAAAAAAAAAAAAAAAUGAACAACAGAAAUCCAGUACUAUGAAUCUGCCACUUUAUUGUUGUUCCAAUAUCAACUCUACUUGGUAUCUCGUGAGGUAAAACCUUCAUUGAAAUUGUGCUGCAAAAAAAAAAAAACAUAUAACUAUAGUCAUGAAUACUUAUAGUUCUAUACUCAUAGAAUUAGAAAUGUUAGACUUAUCAAAUGAAAUAGCAAAGAAAAGAUAGUCUAACACAAACUUUGCUAAUAAAAACUGAAAAUAUCAAAAGCUUGCAAACUUACUUGAAUUUACAAAUGCAUUUUUUAAUUUCUUCUUGCACCAUACAUGCGAGCAUUCUUCUUUGUUCUUCCUGCCUUCAGAUUCCAUUGACGUUCAACCAUCCUAUGAAACCAUGCAGGUCGUCUUGUUCUAAACACAAUAUAACCCAUUGUGACUCCAAAUACAAACCCACAUCCAUACCCCAUUGCCACAGCUUUCCAUCCAAACCCAUCUCCAAACAGUGUUGAAUCAUCUCCUUCAUUAAAGUUUGAUGGCGGUAAUGGUGGUACCACGCCAUUGUUGCAUUCUGUUGGCACUUGGAAUCCACAUAAACCCAAGUUUCCUUGAAAUGAGCUUUGAUCAAACGUGCCGAACAUCCCCCAGGUAUGGGCCCCUCGAGUUUGUUAUGUGAAAGGUUUAAGAUUUCAAGAAAUGGUAUAUCUGUCAACUGCACAGGAAUCCUUCCCGUAAGCAUAUUUGAAGACAUAUCUAAUGACUCUAGUUGGGUUAAAAACCCUAAUGAUGAUAGGAUAUGGCCUGUAAAUAAAUUGUGAGAGAGGUUAAGUUGUACAAGUCCUUCAAGCUUUCCAAUUAGUUCUGGAAUCUCACCGGUGAAACUGUUACUUGAUAAAUCAAGUACUCUGAGGAUAUCUUGGAUUUUCACAAACUCAAUUUCCAACCCUUUCCAUGUCAUUUUUAUUGAAUAGGUGUACCUAGAGUAAUUUCUUGCCUUCAUGUAAAUCAUAUCUUGAUCGACACAUCAUUCCUUCAAGACUAUUGAAAACUCUUCUGGCAAUGGUCCUCUCAAAUUAUUUUCAGAGACGUCAAGAAUAUGUAAUUUGGAGAAGGAAUUAAAAGUAGUCGGACCCUUCAUAAAACCUUGGAGUUUAUUGGAUUUUAGAACAAGAAUCUUUAGCUCCGGAAGCAUUUCUAGGAAAUAGGGGAAUGUAUCCUCAAUCUUAUUGUUACCAAGAUUAAGAAACUCCAGCAUUGUGCAGUUGACGAUAGACAAUGGUAUUUUCCCUUCUAAUUCAUUGCCAUUGAGGUUGAGAUAUUGCAAGUUACUUCCCUUUGAAAAUGUUGAUGGAAUAGUGCCCCGGAGAUUGUUCAUGCCUAGAUGCAAAACUGAGAGUUCGUUGCUGAAGUUUCCCAAACAUUGUGGUGCAGAACCACUCAAGUUAUUGUUGGAAAGGUCCAGGACUAGAAGGAAUUUUAACUUGCAAAUUGAAGAAGGAACCUCCCAUGUCAAUUUAUUGUUGGAUGCAAGAAUAAGAACUGUCAAGUUCUCUUGUUUGAAAAUUGAACUUGGGAUUGGACCAUGCAGGGAGUUAUUGCUCAAAUCAAGGAAUUCUAAUGAAUUGUGUUGGAAUUCACCUAUAUUGCCCAUGAAUUGAUUAUUAUGAAGGUCCAAACGGCAUAAAGAAGGGAGAGCAAAUAAAAAGGAUGGUAUCGUCCCAUUGAGUGAGUUACCAUAUAAAAAUAAAUAUUCUAGAUCUAGAAUGGUACUUAGUUGAAAAUGUAUUGGGCCUUGGAGUUGAUUGUUUGAUAAAUCUAAAUAUGUGAGUAGGGUUAGGUUAGCAAAAGAAUCUGGAAUCUGACCCAUCAAGUUAUUGGAAUUGAGUUGCAAGGAAUUCAUCUGCACAAGGUUUCCAAAUGAAGAUGGGAUCUGCCCACUAAAUUUAUUGAAUCUGAGAUCCAAGGACUCAAGGUACACAAUGUUUUCAAAUGAAGAUGGGAUCUGCCCAUUAAAAUUAUUGGAAUGGAGAUCCAAGGACUCAAGGUGCACAAGGUUUCCAAAUGAAGAUGGGAUCUGCCCACUAAAAUUAUUGGAACGGAGAUCCAAGGACUCAAGGUGCACAAGGUUUCCAAAUGAAGAUGGGAUCUGCCCACUAAAAUUAUUGGAACGGAGAUCCAAGGACUCAAGGUGCACAAGGUUUCCAAAUGAAGAUAGGAUGUGCCCACUAAAAUUAUUGGAAAAGAGAUCCAAGAACUCAAGGUGCACAAGGUUUCCAAAUGAAGAUGGGAUCUGACCACUAAAAUUAUUGGAACAGAGAUGCAAGGACUCAAGGUGCACAAGGUUUCCAAAUGAAGAUGGGAUCUGCCCGCUAAAAUUAUUGAAACCGAGAUCCAAGGACUCAAGGUGCACAAGGUUUCCAAAUGAAGAUGUGAUCUGCCCGCUAAAAUUAUUGAAACCGAGAUCCAAGGACUCAAGGUGCACAAGGUUUCCAAAUGAAGAUGGGAUCUGCCCAUUAAAAUUGUUAUUUGAGAGGUCUAAUUGAAAAAGUCGAGUAAAAUUACCAAAUAGAGCUAGUUUUGACCCAACAAUGUUACAAUUACGAAGCAUCAUAUACUGUAACGACUUUAAAUUACUGAUGAAGUCAUUUUCUAGAUAAAGUGAAAUUCUUGUAUCAGAAAGGUCCAACCACCAGAGGACAUUACUCACAUUGGAGGAAGGAAAAGAGCCAGUGACGCCUUCGUUGUCUGACAAAGAGAGUGAUUCAAGGUUUGGGAGGAGAAAGAUAUUACCUGGGAUUUGCCCUUGCAAUCCGCAGUCUGAAAGGGAAAGAUAUGACAAAGUAGAGGACAGAUUGGUCAAGGAAUUAGGUGCAACCAAAGACAUAUUUACAGAACACAAAUCGAGAUCUCUUAGCUUGGUUAGGUUUCGAACAAGCUUGUCAAAAGAAACUGGUUCUACACUUAGAUGGUAGUUUCCAGAGAGAUCAAGAGAAAUCAAUUUGGAGAGAUGGGAGACUUCUAAUGGAACUUGGCCUGCGAAAUUGGAAGACAUUAGAUUAAGAUGUGUCAGAUUGGAAAACUGCCCAAAUCGAGAAGAAAUAUGGGAGGAGUUGAAAUCAUUGAUAGAGAGAUCGAGCUUCUGAAGAUGAUGAAGAGAGAAGAGAGAAUUAUUGGAAUGGAGGGUGCCAUAAAGCAUGCUGCAAGAGAGGUUCAGUCCAGUGACUUGCCCGGUUUUCAUAUCACAAGUGACCCCAUCCCACAAGCAGCAAUCUGUACCGUCUUUCCAUGACUCUGUUUUUGGAAAGGGAUAUUGACAAUAGUAGCGCUCCCAAUAAGCAGAACUAUUAAUGGGAAAGGAUUGUUUGAAUUGAAGGAGAGAAAGACUUUGGUGAUGAGCACACAAAUGAUUAGAAGAGGAGUGAUUUGAGGAGAAUGAUGAUGAAAUUGUUGUAUGAAAAUGGAAGAGAAACAAAAUGGAACAGAGAAAUUGAAUGGGGGAUAAUGAAAACUUCAUGUUGGCUCUUCAGGAUUCAAAGUAUAUUUGGAAUGCUGAAC
rnacentral:lncRNA from 1 species